rnacentral:rRNA from 1 species
AUCGAACGCUGGCGGCAUGCUUUACACAUGCAAGUCGAACGGUCCUUUCCGUGUGGGCGCCGACCGGUGGCGUAACGCGGGGUAACGCACCGGCAGGUUCGCAGUGACUCGGGGUAACGCAGCCUAAUCUCUGCUACUACCUCUUGUGGACAGAGGUUCAAAGGGGGGGACGGCGCGCGAAUGUUUAGCUUGGUGCCGUUGGAACGGCCGAUGUCGGCUUAGCUAGUUGGGGGGGUAAAGGCCAACCAAGGCGACGAUCCGUAGCUGGUCUGAGAGGACGAGCAGCCACACUGGGACUGAGACACGGCGCAGACUCCUACGGGAGGAAGCAGUGGGGAAUUUUGGACAAUGGGCGCAAGCCUGAUCCAGCAAUGCCGCGUGCGGGAAGAAGGCCUUCGGGUUGUAAACCGCUUUUGGCAGGAACGAAACGGUGUCCGCUAAUACCGGGCGCUAAUGACGGUACCUGCAGAAUAAGCACCGGCUAACUACGUG